rnacentral:rRNA from 1 species
CCUACGGGAGGCUGCAGUGGGGAAUAUUGCACAAUGGGGGAAACCCUGAUGCAGCAACGCCACGUGAAGGAAGACGGUUUUCGGAUUGUAAACUUCUAUCAUUAGAGAAGAUAGAGAUGGUGUUACCUGAAUAAGCAGCGGCUGCUAACGACGUGCCAGCAGCCGCGGUAAUACGGAGGGGGCAAGCGUUAGCCGGAAUUACUGGGUGUAAAGGGGGAGUAGGGGGGAAAGUAAGUGAGAUGUGAAAGCCUGAAGCUUAACUUAAGUAUGGCAUAAAGAACUAUCUAGCUAGAGUAUAGGAGAGGAAAGUGGAAUUCCUAGUGUAGCGGUAAAAUGCGUAGAGAUUAGGAAGAACACUCGUGGCGAAGGCGACCUUCUGGAAUGAAACUGACGCUGAUGCUCGAAAGCGUGGGGAGCGAACAGGAUUAGAUACCCUGGUAGUC